GCCCCAUUAGGGGGCGAAGCUGUUGAUUCACACUGCCAAGAAAAGCCGCUAGUGAGAUAUUGACCGCCCGUACCGCAAACCGACACAGGUAGUUGGGAAGAGAAUUCUAAGGUGAGCGAGCGAACUCUCGUUAAGGAACUCGGCAAAAUGACCCCGUAACUUCGGGAGAAGGGGUGCUCAGUAAAAUGAGCCGCAGUGAAUAGGCCCAAGCGACUGUUUAUCAAAAACACAGGUCUCUGCCAAACCGAAAGGUGACGUAUAGGGGCUGACGCCUGCCCGGUGCUGGAAGGUUAAAAGGCGCGCUUAGCGUAAGCGAAGGUGCAAAUUGAAGCCCCAGUAAACGGCGGCCGUAACUAUAACGGUCCUAAGGUAGCGAAAUUCCUUGUCAGGUAAGUUCUGACCCGCACGAAAGGCGCAACGAUUUGGGCACUGUCUCAACGAGAGGCUCGGUGAAAUCAUAUUACCUGUGAAGAUGCAGGUUACCCGCGACAGGACGGAAAGACCCCGUGGAGCUUUACUGUAGCCUGAUAUUGAAUCUGGACCUCACCUGUACAGGAUAGGUGGGAGUCUUUGAAGCGUGGACGCCAGUCCACGUGGAGACACUGGUGGGAUACCACCCCGGUGUGGUUGAGAUUCUAACCCGCGUCCGUGAUCCGGACGGGAGACAGUGUCAGGUGGACAGUUUGACUGGGGCGGUCGCCUCCUAAAGAGUAACGGAGGCGCUCAAAGGUUCCCUCAGAAUGGUUGGAAAUCAUUCACAGAGUGUAAAGGCAUAAGGGAGCUUGACUGCGAGACCGACAAGUCGAGCAGGGUCGAAAGACGGACUUAGUGAUCCGGUGGUUCCGCAUGGAAGGGCCAUCGCUCAACGGAUAAAAGCUACCCCGGGGAUAACAGGCUUAUCUCCCCCAAGAGUUCACAUCGACGGGGAGGUUUGGCACCUCGAUGUCGGCUCGUCGCAUCCUGGGGCUGUAGUCGGUCCCAAGGGUUGGGCUGUUCGCCCAUUAAAGCGGCACGCGAGCUGGGUUCAGAACGUCGUGAGACAGUUCGGUCCCUAUCCGUCGUGGGCGUAGGAAAUUUGAGAGGCGCUGUCCUUAGUACGAGAGGACCGGGAUGGACAUACCACUGGUGUACCAGUUGUCGUGCCAACGGCAUCGCUGGGUAGCUAUGUAUGGCCGGGAUAAGUGCUGAAAGC
rfam:Salinicoccus alkaliphilus DSM 16010 genome assembly, contig: EJ97DRAFT_NODE_2_len_1130_cov_54_011505.26